GGUUCCCUUCCAAGAACCCUAACUCACAAAAUUGCCAAAAUCAAGAGAAAUCAAGCCAAGAAUUUGGGGCUUUUAAUAAAAUCGUGAUCACCAAGCUUAGGGGAUCACAAGUUUGACGCGUAACAAGCUAGGUGGAAGCUUGAUGAGGGAGCGGGUCAAACGAAUCACAAAUGAAAGGAAAAGCGUAGUUCGGAUGCGAGAUAUAUACCAAGUGUUCUCGGAUGAAGAUCAAGCACUAGGAAGGACCGAACACGAUCAAUGAAAUAAGCUUCCGCAUGACGUUUCGUCGUUACUUUUAAAUGACGAACUUAAUUACAUUUUGUUGUAAUACUUUCAAAUUGUAAAAGUUUUAAUUCACCCGUAUUAUUCGGCAGUAUUUACACAUAAUUUCUUAA